UGAUAGCUACAUUACUGUUGAAAGUAUGCAUGCGGUACCGUUAUUGCCAUUGUUGAAAUUUUAAUGUAUGAUUUAUUACUCCUAUCUAUAACAUUACCUGAGGUUGUUGCACUGUUCCUUUAGCAAUAACGAUAUUAGUUUCCUGCUUUCUGCUGAGUACAAUGCUUUUAAACAGAUUUCCAGAUUCUGCAAUAUUAAAUACAAAACACAAACAUAUGCAAGGGUACUGUGCGACUCCAUUAUGCACCUUUUGCCUACUCAACAAGGCUUUAAAAAUUGUUUGUGAAAGGGCACUCUCAAUUACGUUUUCCUACUGAAGCUGCCCAUUUGAUUAUUACAGGGAGUAGCAUACUAUUCGAUGUGAAAGGGGGCUCAAUAGUAGUCAGUGUGGCACCCCAUUCUCGCCUCUAAAUGAGAUAUCGGUGUCAGGUUUGCAUUAUGUGGUAGCGUGUUUAUAUUGUAGUUGUUAUCUUGAUUCCAAAUACCACUGUACCAUUGUUAACUAUUUACUUCAUUCUGGCAAUACUAAAAUUGGGAACCAAAGAAGUAGUAAUUCAUUGACAGUUUAGAACAAUCAGUGUGCUGUGAACAUUCAAGAAACUCCCCCUUAGUACCUUAAUGUGUACGUAAUAGUUUGAAAGUGUUGAAAGUGUACGUAGUAUAAUUAAGUAAAGUAAAGAUUUGAAAUGUGUGGUUAUAAUAACAUUAGGAACCAACUAAUAAAAUGCUAGUCAUUCGAUGAUAAUUA